rnacentral:rRNA from 1 species
CUACGGGAGGCUCCAGUGAGGAAUAUUGCACAAUGGGGGAAACCCUGAUGCAGCAACGCCGCGUGGAGGAUGACGCAUUUCGGUGUGUAAACUCCUUUUAUCAGAGAAGAAAAUGACGGUAUCUGAUGAAUAAGCUCCGGCUAACUCCGUGCCAGCAGCCGCGGUAAUACGGAGGGAGCAAGCGUUAUUCGGAAUCACUGGGCGUAAAGGACGCGUAGGCGGGUUUUUAAGUCAGGUGUGAAAUCCUAUGGCUCAACCAUAGAACUGCACUUGAAACUGGGGACCUAGAGUAUGGAAGGGGCAGGUGGAAUUAGUGGUGUAGGGGUAAAAUCCGUAGAUAUCACUAGGAAUACCGAAAGCGAAGGCGACCUGCUGGGACAUUACUGACGCUGAGGCGUGAAAGCGUGGGGAGCAAACAGGAUUAGAUACCCCCGUAGUC